AUCCGUUUUGACCUGAACCAAAAUUGGUACUUUUUAUAACAAUUUGUUUGACCCAACCCGCCUGUUUUGCAAGGUUUAGUUGCAAGAAAUCUUUGUAUGUUCAACGGUAUGAUUUUGGGAAGGGCUGAUUCCAUAAAGCGGUAACCAAGUUUUGUUAGGUAAAUAAAAGAAUGAUCAAAGUACCAAAUUUGAUCUAAGGUAAUCAUUUCUGCAAAAAGAAAAAAAAUCAAAUUAAGGCCUAUGGAAAUCAAGACGGUUUAUGCGGAUUAAGGGGUCUUGAUGAUGUGUAAUAUAAGAAUCACUUCUGACAUACAAGGCCACGGGAGAUCAGGACAGCUGAUUGAGCAAAAUGUCCAAAUUACCCUCCAAAGAUCUUUGCUGUAGGAUGUGUUAUUGGUUAGUGCAUUAUGUGAAAGAUCCAACAUUUUGAUCCCAAAACGAGGUUUCGUAAAGAUUAAAAUGAUCUAGAAUGGCAGAUUGAGAAAGUGAAUUAGGAACAGGCAGUUAAGGUUGUUCCAUAAGGGUACCCGAUCUUCAAGAAAAGGUAUCGAUAAUAAGUUUUGGUUAAAUCAAGGAACUUUAUCUUCCCUGAGUUGGUUAUGCAAAAGAUUGAGGUUUUCAAGAUCAUUAAGAAAUGGACAUAUGAGCCGUGGCCAUCACUGUUUAGUGAUACUUUCUGUUUGCUAGAUUCUUGUUAUGAGCAGCAUCCAAGAACAUGGGGAGUUGUCAUAUGAUAGUAAUGGAUGCUUUGAAUGCUGCUAAAACAUCAUCAUCAAUUUAAAAAAGAAAAAUUUUGAUCUUAA